rnacentral:misc_RNA from 1 species
UACUCUCACACUUCCGAUUGUUUGGAUCGGGAGCGGUGGACUUGGGUGUUGCUGCGUAACUGUGGCUCACCUUAAAUGCAUUAGUGCACCUUUCGGUUGGACAUAGUACGGCGUGAUAAGUGUCUUCGCCGGCACCUCCUCACAGAGGGUGGCCGAUCGGGAGCUCUGUGCUUCAAACCGUCUUCGGACAAUGACUGACA